UGCCGGUCGCAUUUCCUCGUUAAUUCGGGAAAGCCCGGCCGCACUCCAGGGGCGCUGAUUCCGCAUUGUCGGGGCGGCGCACCGAGAGCGCACACGUUGGGACCCGAAAGAUGGUGAACUAUGCUUGGCAAGGGCGAAGCCAGAGGAAACUCUGGUGGAGGUCCGUUUCGAUUCUGACGUGCAAAUCGAUCGUCAGAGCUGGGUAUAGGGGCGAAAGACUAAUCGAACCAUCUAGUAGCUGGUUCCUCCCGAAGUUUCCCUCAGGAUAGCUGGCGCUCGUGGGAAGAGUCUCAUCCGGUAAAGCGAAUGAUUAGAGGCCUUGGGGCCGAAAUGACCUCAACCUAUUCUCAAACUUUCAAUGGGGUGAGAAGCUGGGCUUGCUUGAUUUGAAGUUCCGGCAGUAUAUUGGAUCUGUAGAGUGCCCAGUGGGCCACUUUUGGUAAGCAGAACUGGCGCUGUGGGAUGAACCAAACGUUGGGUUAAGGCGCCCGACAAGACGCAAAUCUGAUCCCAUGAAGGGUGUCGGUUGCUCCAGACAGCAGGACGGUGGCCAUGGAAGUCGGAAUCC
rnacentral:rRNA from 1 species